UAGGGAAUCUUCGGCAAUGGGGGGAACCCUGACCGAGCAACGCCGCGUGAGUGAAGAAGGUUUUCGGAUCGUAAAGCUCUGUUGUUAAGGAAGAACGAGUGUGAGAAUGGAAAGUUCAUACUGUGACGGUACUUAACCAGAAAGGGACGGCUAACUACGUGCCAGCAGCCGCGGUAAUACGUAGGUCCCGAGCGUUGUCCGGAUUUAUUGGGCGUAAAGCGAGCGCAGGCGGUUAGAUAAGUCUGAAGUUAAAGGCAGUGGCUCAACCAUUGUAGGCUUUGGAAACUGUUUAACUUGAGUGCAGAAGGGGAGAGUGGAAUUCCAUGUGUAGCGGUGAAAUGCGUAGAUAUAUGGAGGAACACCGGUGGCGAAAGCGGCUCUCUGGUCUGUAACUGACGCUGAGGCUCGAAAGCGUGGGGAGCGAACAGGAUUAGAUACCCUGGUAGUCCACGCCGUANCGAUGAGUGCUAGGUGUUAGGUCCUUUCCGGGACUUAGUGCCGCAGCUAACGCAUUAAGCACUCCGCCUGGGGAGUACGGCCGCAAGGUUG
rnacentral:rRNA from 1 species